rnacentral:rRNA from 1 species
GACGAACGCUGGCGGCGUGCUUAACACAUGCAAGUCGAACGAAGUGGCGAACGGGUGAGUAACGCGUAAUCAACCUGCCCUUCAGAGGGGGACAACAGUUGGAAACGACUGCUAAUACCGCAUACUGAAGGAGGGGAUUGCGUUUGAUUAGCUAGUUGGCGGGGUAACGGCCCACCAAGGCGAUGAUCAGUAGCCGGGCUGGGAGGGUGAACGGGCCAAAUGGGGCUGGAGAACGGCCCCGAACCCUUCGGGAGGCAACAGUGGGGAAUCUUCCGCAAUGGGCGAAAGUCUGACGGAGCAAAGCCGGGUGAGUGAUGGCGGCCUUCGGGUUGUAAAGCUCUGUUAAUCGGGGCGCGGUACCGAAAUAGAAAGCCACGGCUAACUACGUGCCAGCAGCCGCGGUAAUUC